rnacentral:lncRNA from 1 species
ACCGUGUGUCAAGGACCGCAGCUUUACUUAGCCCCUUGACACUAUCGCAGCCGCAGUUUGCCCAACUUCGGUCGCACAUUGUAAAUAUUACUUCAAGUUUGAGUUGUAAUUUUCGUUUCAUUGUAAUAGUUAUUUUAAUUGUAAAAUAGCUCUGAUAUUGGUAAAAGAUUAGUAUGAUUCCUCGGCUUUUAAACGUCUACUCCCGUCACUUGGGUUUUUGUUCAGAAUGCUAUUAUAGGGGGUAUUAGUCAUUCAAAAAUCUUUCAAGCUCACUGGUGUCCGCCCCCUGCACCAGCAUUUGUAAUUUUC